rnacentral:lncRNA from 10 species
CUCUCUACUUACAGGUAAAUUGUCUUGUGAUUAUUUCCACAGAACUCUGACUUGGAUAAGAUGGAUGUACCUGCUUCUUGAGCUGAAUUCUCACCAAUCCCUCAUUUCUGGUCAUUCUUAACCUUACUCCCAGAUGUGUUUGGUCUACUGCAGCCUUCGGAUCCCUACUAGAGUUUGCCUUAGGAAUCAGCUUUCUCAGACCUGUGUCUGAGAUAAAAUGUCUGGGAUAAAAUGUCAUUUAUCCUGCUUCCUGGAUUCUGAAAUUUGAUGAUUCUGUUCUCCUCUUUCAUCUCUUCUUUCUUAAACCCUUUUUUUUAAAAAAAAAUCCUGUAACUGUCAUUUACUGGAACUUCAGAGAGAAGCAGAGGUUAAUACCUAUGUUCAAUGGAUACAGGAGAUAAAAAGAAAUUAUUUAGGCAGUUAAUGAGGGUAAGAGAGUUCUUGGCAAGGCUUCCCUUUUAACACAAGCAACCCGCCAAAUCAUUUCUUUUCUAACAAAGAGCAGCCGGUAAAAUCAAGCCACAGACACAGAUAAGCAAGCUAGAAGCUUUCACAGGUAAAUGUGGCAACUGUGCCAAUAGAAACACACUACCUAAGGGCCAGGUAUGUUCAACAUGGAGGUUCCCUCUUCCCUUUUGUGGCUACAUAAGUGGUAAAAAAGCAUGGAGCCAGCCAGGUAGAGGCCUCAUCUGCAUAAUAAAAGAUUAGGGUGAGAUGUCCAGCUUCUUCACGCCCUAUGCAAACAGCACACCUGGUCUGACUAAUCUCUUGAUCCCUAUGUAAAUGAGACACCGCCUCCUCAAGCUCCUCUAUGAAAUCCCUUGCAUUUCAGUAGGAAACCAGAAGACCCACUUGGGAGCCCCAUGCUCUCUCUGCAGGAAAGAGAGCUUUUCUUGUCUCUUUUCUCUCGCCUAUUAAACCUCAGCUCUUCAACUCACUUCUUGUGUGUCUGUGUCCUUGAUUUCCUUAGUGUGAGACAACGAACCUCAGAUAUUUACCACAGACAACGUAGCCACUUCACAAUCUUGCAAAUUUUCACCAAGUCCUUUUCAUUAUUAUGUAAGGAGUUGGAACUGACUGAUGAGGGUUUGAUUGUGAUUGCCUCUAGCUCUCCCUGAUAGCAUUUGGAUGAGCUGGACAGAUGUAGGAUUAACAAAGGUCUGUAGGGUGGAGCAAAUAUGUCUCAUUACCAAGGGUAAAAUUUCAAGUGAAGAGGCUCCCAUACUAGAGCAACCACAACAAAACAAAUAACCAUGGAUUUGGGACUGAACACUAGGAAAGAGUGAAUAUAUGUUUUUGAGGUCAGCUGUGCUGAAGGCAAGAGAAGAACAUUGCCAAGUAACUUCCAAAUGUGACAUUUUUCAACCUUGGUUUAUGACUGAAAAGCCAAGAAAGACUAAGCUAAAAUGGAAUUCAGCUUCCCAGCCUAAAUAGUGGGAGAGGUCCAAAAUACAGCUAAGGAAAAUUUUACUGGGAAAGCUAGUUGUAUCCAUUUACUCUGUUCUACACAUAUCAAUUAGAAAUUUUAAAAAGGUAAGUUUGAUCAAGCUUUUAUUCCGACAUUUGAAAA